GGUUAAGCGACUAAGCGUACACGGUGGAUGCCCUGGCAGUCAGAGGCGAUGAAGGACGUGCUAAUCUGCGAUAAGCGUCGGUAAGGUGAUAUGAACCGUUAUAACCGGCGAUUUCCGAAUGGGGAAACCCAGUGUGAUUCGUCACACUAUCAUUAACUGAAUCCAUAGGUUAAUGAGGCGAACCGGGGGAACUGAAACAUCUAAGUACCCCGAGGAAAAGAAAUCAACCGAGAUUCCCCCAGUAGCGGCGAGCGAACGGGGAGCAGCCCAGAGCCUGAAUCAGUGUGUGUGUUAGUGGAAGCGUCUGGAAAG
rnacentral:rRNA from 1 species